UCAACCUUGAAGCAUAAUUAAUAUACCCAGUAUAUGAUAGACAUCCUCAAUGAAUCCUGAGCAUGAAUUCAUUAGUUGUAAUUACAGAUUUCAUAUGGGGAGAGGCCACAGAACAGGGGAUGAGGAGGAGGAGUAGGAAGGCUCCACAGAACAGGGGAUGAGGAGGAGGAGUAGGAAGGUUCCACAGAACAGGGGAUGAGGAGGAAGAGUAGGAAGGUUCCACAGAACAGGGGAUGAGGAGGAAGAGUAGGAAGGUUCCACAGAACAGGGGAUGAGGAGGAGUAGGAAGGCUCCACAGAACAGGGUCAAUCAAAUGUAUCCUGCAUCUUUCUCGCUCUCUCUCUCCCUCCCUCUCUCUCCCUCUCUCUCGUAACAACCAUGUAAAUUCAAGUAAUUGAACAAUCAGGUGCUCUCUCUCUCAGUAAAGUAGAGGAGUAAUCUGCCAGAGGCUGAGAAUUUCAAAUGAUCUUAACCAGACACUUAAUUCAAUUCCUACAGCUUUAUGAACAAAAUAAGUGGUGUGUUUAAUUCAAAUAAUCAGCACAAGGUACGAAGUCUAUCAGAGUAUGGGCACUGGUCAAAACAAGUAGUGAAGUCAGAGCUUGAUUACAACCAAACAGUGUUUGUUUGACUCCCUCAGUUAUAUCUUGACCAACAAAAAAAAGAAACGUCCGUUUUUCAGGACCCUUGUUUUUCAAAGAUAAUACCCUUAUUGGCCUUCUUGCAACACCUGAGUUAAGAAAAGAUUUACUAAAUAAACUAAUGCAACAUAUUGAAUGCCAACCACCAUUAAACCCACCGAAGAAGAAGAAGUAGUCCUGUUGCGUUUUGAUAGUCAGGGAACAGGAAGUUCCGGGCAGGCUUCGGCCACAAUUGUUCUCUGAAGACAGUAGCGGUUGUGUCCGUUUCAGAAGUAUUAACUAAAGACCAACUCAGAUUAAGUCUGAGGCCGGUAACAUCAACAGUGAGGACAAACCCAGCCUGCCUCUCCCCUUCCACACUGAGUCCAAACCUACAGUCACUGGGUCCUGAUUGUGACAGUGGAGCCCAGUUUGCACUGCAGGAUCCAGAGAUGGCAUCAGUGAAGCUGGAAGACUGCAGUCAAACACUGGAGCUGAAUGUCAACAUUAAAGAUGAAGAAGAGGAGGAGGAGAUUGGUACAUCUGUUAGUCAUGGUAAGAGCAGGUUCUAUCUAUAAGUUAUCUUCAUAUAUUAGACCUCCAUAAGUUAUGAACCAGUCUGUUGAUAGGUUGAAUUCUGUAAUUCUGACAUCACACAUCCCUGAACAACUGGAUUAUCUGGAGUGAUCAGAGAGGAGACUAAAGAAGUGAAGUAGACAAACUGCCAGUGUUUUAAAGUUCUAUGAAAUGAGUCUGUGUAGUUACUAACCCUUGCGAUAGUGAGUGGAGGAUGAUAUGAAAUGAGUCUGUGUAGUUACUAACCCUUGUGAUAGUGAGUGGAGGAUGAUAUGAAAUGAGUCUGUGUAGUUACUAACCCUUGUGAUAGUGAGUGGAGGAUGAUAUGAAAUGAGUCUGUGUAGUUACUAACCCUUGUGAUAGUGAGUGGAGGAUGAUAUGAAAUGAGUCUGUAGUUACUAACCCUUGUGAUAGUGAGUGGAGGAUGAUAUGAAAUGAGUCUGUGUAGUUACUAACCCUGGUGAUAGUGAGUGGAGGAUGAUAUGAAAUGAGUCUGUGUAGUUACUAACCCUUGUGAUAGUGAGUGGAGGAUGAUAUGAAAUGAGUCUGUAGUUUCUAACCCUUGUGAUAGUGAGUGGAGGAUGAUAUGAAAUGAGUCUGUGUAGUUACUAACCCUUGUGAUAGUGAGUGGAGGAUGAUAUGAAAUGAGUCUGUAGUUUCUAACCCUUGUGAUAGUGAGUGGAGGAUGAUAUGAAAUGAGUCUGUGUAGUUACUAACCCUUGUGAUAGUGAGUGGAGGAUGAUAU
rnacentral:lncRNA from 1 species